GAUGAAGAACGUAGCGAAAUGCGAUAAGUAAUGUGAAUUGCAGAAUUCAGUGAAUCAUCGAAUCUUUGAACGCACCUUGCACCCUUUGGACUGCUCCAAAGGGUAUGCUCGUUUGAGUGUCAUUGUACUCUCACACUCUCUGAUCCUUUGGAUUUGGGGAGCAGUGGACUUGGGUGCUUGCUGCUUCCUUGUGGCUCACCUGAAAUGCAUCAGUGCAUCUCUCGAUUGGACAUAGUACGGCGUGAUAAGUGUCUUCGCCGGCACCUCAUAUGAGGGUGACCGAUCGGGAGCUCUGUGCUUUCAAACCGUCUUCGGACAACGCUGACAACUUGACCUCAAAUCGAGUAGGACUACCCGCUGAACUUAAGCAUAUCAAUAAGCGGAGGA
rnacentral:misc_RNA from 1 species